CUCCGAGGGUGCCGGAGCGGCCGGGUUUCUCUGGGGAGGCGGCUGCUCCGCCGGCGAGAAGGUGCUGCGGGCCCCGGGAGCGCGGCCGUUGGGGGACCGAACCGGCCGCAAUUGUUACGUGGGAGGCCGCGUUCUUUCUAGCUGCUUUGAUCAUCUGUGACUUGGGAGAGAACAUGUGUUUGCUGCUGCCCAGGUCUGUUCAGGAUAAACUGAAGAUGAAACUUCACAAUAUAAGGAGGCUCGCUCUCCCAGUGUAGUAACUGCCUUGCCAAGUUCAGUUUGAACAAAGGCUUUUCUCUAGGGAGCUGAAGAGGAAGGGAAAGGUGCAGCUGAGGGGCAGACACCGGAGAAACAAAAACAUGCUGGAGAGUACAGCCAGAGAGAGUCUUGAUGAAGCACAGAUGGAUCCCAAGGAAUGAAUGCAAAAGGAGUGAGUACAGCACCUUUCAGUGUCUGAGUCUAAAUAGCCUUCCCUGGUGGAGUUAGGGCUAGACACCCCAUUCUGUGCCUGCAUCAGGGGCGAGGGCAACAGACCAGCAGUGCUGUAUUUGUCACACACCAGCCAGUGGAGAAUAACUUCUUGGGAAGCAGCAUUAGCAAGAAAAGCAAUGAGAUUUAUUCCCUGCCCCUCACUCCCCCUACUACUUCUUGGCAUCGUAUGUUUUUCAUCAUUCUCACUGGUUUUCCAAGAAAAUACUGGUUUAAGUAGCUAUGUCUGUGGAAGUGGUGGAUUUAUUGUCUUGUAUAAAUUUGGUAAAUGUGCCACAAGGUGCACAAAUGGCAUUGCAGAUUAUUAGAAUAUAAAAAUAUGAACUACCUUCCCUGAAAAAAUCUGCUGUAUGUUUAACUAAACAGUUGAUGGCUGCUCAAUAAUGACCUUAUUGAGCAGAACAGUUUGCUGUGCUUAUAUAAAAGAUGCUUAAAAGCAGACUAAUUGUAUCUGAAGUAGAUGGAGGUCAAGCAUUUCACAGGUGCUUGGACAGCGUUAGUGUUAAAAUACAGCUGUGCAUACUGCCUCAGUGCUGUGGCCGGUUCUUAGGAGCAGAUCAAAUUGCAGUUACUAAACCAAAUAUUAAAAUCACUUGUGCAGAUAAGGGAGGGAUGCUUAAUUUACUGUUUAUUGGUGGUGCCUUUAGAUACCCACUGGCUGUAAAUGCAUCAGAUGAAAACAAAAGGAAGUUACAGGACUGGUGAUAGCAUAUUGUGGAGAGGCUGGCUUCUCAUAUAGAGGGCUGUAGAGGUAAGUCACACCUCUCAAUUUGUUAACUAGUCAUUUUUAUUUUGGGAUGUCAUGUAAGAUCAGUUUGCCUUUUCUUCUGUUCCUUUCCUCAUUGCACGGCACAAAUCCCACAACUUAUUCCUCCCUCCUUUGCCUCUUCUGUAAAUGGGUUCUGGUCUUUUAUUCUGUUUCCAAAACAUUUAAGCAGGAGAGUGAAUUAAGAAGCUGUAUGUCUUCUGGGGUUUGUCCCUGCUUGCACAGAAAAAGCUAGUUUCUCCGUAAUAUACGGUAUCAUGUUAUAGCUGGGAUAAGCAGGUACUAAAGCACUCUCCAGCAGGAGCAGGAUUAGCCAGUGAUACAGACUGGAAACUUAGCUGCUGCUAAAAUUCUCUUUCCUCCCUAGCCAGAAACUUUGAUAGUUGAGGGAGGUAUCUUGCUUCUCAUGGGCACUUAAGCCACCCCACUUAAUGCAAAAUGAAUUGUCUGUAUUUAACACUUGGCACUUUCUGUUCAGCAUCCAAAAUUUGUUUCAUACUGUACUACUACAUCCUAGUUCCGAGCACAGUACGGAAAUAAUGCUGAGCCCAAGGAGCAAGACUUGUGACAAAGAGUGAAAGAAGGCAACACUGAAACAACCUUUCAAGUGACAGUAAACGGAGCUCCUUCUGCCUUAUAGCAUGUUGCCUCUCUGUCUAAAUGCCUCUAGAGAGGCUGAAUCUGAAAUGCCUACCUGCUAAAAAUCCAACCCUCUGCUUUUCAAAUAACUUACUUUUUCAGGUUACUUCAUUAACAUUAAAUAGAAUUAUUGACGUAGUAUCUGGUCAAGGUCCCUACUAAAAUGCAUUCUAUGCUAUAGUGGCUCUAGGGGACUGUUGGAAAAAGACUGGCUUUAUAGUGCCAGGGUUACUGUGACAGACUAGACCAGACACAGCAGAGGAAGACAAAGCAGAAAGUACUGCUGAAAGGCCAGAGAAGAUUGCACAAGGUGAAACACUUCCAUAGAAGCUAGUACUCUACACCAUUUCUGUACGUAACAGGUGCAGAAGAGGCAAAGUUUUACAAGGUAAUGCUGAGUGCCUGCAGUAUAGUGUAUGCACUACAAAUGAUUUAAGACAUCAAAAGCAUUUAAAACUGAA